CCUACGGGAGGCAGCAGUCGAGAGUCUUCCACAAUGGGCGAAAGCCUGAUGGAGCGACGCCGCGUGAAUGAAGAAGGGCUUCGGCCUGUAAAGUUCUUUUCUCUAUGAAAAAUCCGUCUUAAAAACGGUAUGAUAUUAGUAGAAGAAUAAGGGUUGCUAACUCGUG
rnacentral:rRNA from 1 species